UCGUUUCUCAAGUGUUGUAUGGUUUUGUGCAGUUGGUCUGCUGACAGCAGGCUUCUCUUGAGUGGUAGCAAGGACUCUACCUUGAAGGUUUGGGAUGUGAGGACACAGAAAUUGAAGCAAGACCUUCCUGGUCAUGAAGAUGAGGUUUUUGCUGUGGAUUGGAGUCCAGAUGGUGAGAAAGUUGCAUCGGGUGGUCGGGAUAGAGUUUUGAAGCUAUGGAUGGGUUAAAAAGUUAAGAAAGCUUUU